CGGUACAGAUCCAGCUUGCUGGAUGCUGACGAGCGGCGGACGGGUGAGUAAUGCAUAGGAAUCUGCCCGAUAGUGGGGGAUAACCUGGGGAAACCCAGGCUAAUACCGCAUACGUCCUACGGGAGAAAGGGGGCUCCGGCUCCCGCUAUGGGAUGAGCCUAUGUCGGAUUAGCUAGUUGGUGAGGUAACGGCUCACCAAGGCCACGAUCCGUAGCUGGUCUGAGAGGAUGAUCAGCCACAUCGGGACUGAGACACGGCCCGAACUCCUACGGGAGGCAGCAGUGGGGAAUAUUGGACAAUGGGGGCAACCCUGAUCCAGCCAUGCCGCGUGUGUGAAGAAGGCCCUCGGGUUGUAAAGCACUUUCAGCGAGGAAGAACGCCUAGCGGUUAAUACCCGCUAGGAAAGACAUCACUCGCAGAAGAAGCACCGGCUAACUCCGUGCCAGCAGCCGCGGUAAUACGGAGGGUGCAAGCGUUAAUCGGAAUUACUGGGCGUAAAGCGCGCGUAGGUGGCUUGAUAAGCCGGUUGUGAAAGCCCCGGGCUCAACCUGGGAACGGCAUCCGGAACUGUCAAGCUAGAGUGCAGGAGAGGAAGGUAGAAUUCCCGGUGUAGCGGUGAAAUGCGUAGAGAUCGGGAGGAAUACCAGUGGCGAAGGCGGCCUUCUGGACUGACACUGACACUGAGGUGCGAAAGCGUGGGUAGCAAACAGGAUUAGAU
rnacentral:rRNA from 1 species